ensembl:lncRNA
AACUAAGCUGCGGAUCUAGUCAUCCUGAGGGCAGACACGGAAAGGGAGUGUUGUCUAGAGUCAGGUUACUUGUCACAGCAGAACCUCUAUGUGUAUUGAAAAGAAUCUCUGCAGUCGUUAGAACUUAGAUUAGUGAUUCUCCUCAAUGACCAGGUACCAGAGAAAGUCAGUCUACUCAUGAAAAUUACACUUCAUCAACCAGGGGUCUCAUAACCACUCAGAAGGCCUGAAGCUUUAAACCUGCCCUGAAGAAAGUCUUGUCUCCCCAUUCCUGCCUUGGCUUAUUGAGGGAGUGACUUCUGCCAACCCCUGCAUGACAAGGACCCCUCCCACCUUCCUUAAGAAGUAUCAUGGGCCUCAAAGGACAAAGGAGGAGACUGAGAAGGCGCCCAGCACCUCUCGGGAGGCGUGGCUUUGCUGAACACCUGUCCACAGGUGCGCUGCUCAGCUCUAGUGCUCUCCUUGGCCUACCUGGGGCCAGGACAGCCCCGUAGACCAGGACUCAUCAUUCUGCCCCUCUCUGCAGCCUAAGGUCUAAGACACGUCGCUCACCUGGGCUCUCACCUGAAGCCUGUCUCAUGGAUUAAUGGGCACUUUCUUGUCUGUUAAUUAACUGAUGUUUUGUUCCCCAUUUGGUUACUGAUGUUCACAUCUCUUCAUAUUCAGGCAGAAUUCUAAAGUAGGGGGCAGAGUGGUGGGAUUUAUUUUUAUUUCUAAUUUCAAAGACUACUAGAACUACUUCCCAAAUGAUCCUUGCAAGUUGUGUUUCCUACUAUUAAAA